GGCGAACGCUGGCGGCGUGCCUAAUACAUGCAAGUAGAACGCACAGUUUAUACCGUAGCUUGCUACACCAUAGACUGUGAGUUGCGAACGGGUGAGUAACGCGUAGGUAACCUGCCUGGUAGCGGGGGAUAACUAUUGGAAACGAUAGCUAAUACCGCAUAAUAUUAAUUAUUGCAUGAUAAUUAAUUGAAAGGUGCAAUUGCACCACAACCAGAUGGACCUGCGUUGUAUUAGCUAGUAGGUGAGGUAACGGCUCACCUAGGCGACGAUACAUAGCCGACCUGAGAGGGUGAUCGGCCACACUGGGACUGAGACACGGCCCAGACUCCUACGGGAGGCAGCAGUAGGGAAUCUUCGGCAAUGGACGAAAGUCUGACCGAGCAACGCCGCGUGAGUGAAGAAGGUUUUCGGAUCGUAAAGCUCUGUUGUAAGAGAAGAACGGGUGUGAGAGUGGAAAGUUCACACUGUGACGGUAUCUUACCAGAAAGGGACGGCUAACUACGUG
rnacentral:rRNA from 1 species